GGUGUUAAAACAGUCAACACACCAAAGGCGUCCGUUAGCAGAUUCUUGUAACUGUUCUGAGAAUGUAUCCAGUACUAUACAUGACUGCUUGAUGGCCUGGGUCAUUACUGAAAAGGAUCUUUUGACCAGUUCGCCACCCAAUUUAAACGAUGUAUAUAUGGCACCCUACUGGACGUACAUGACUGCUUGAUGGCCUGGGUCAUUACUGAAAAGGAUCUUUUGACCAGUUCGCCACCCAAUUUACACGAUGUAUAUAUGGCACCCUACUGGACACACAUGACUGCUUGAUGGCCUGGGUCAUUACUGAAAAGGAUCUUUUGACCAGUUCGCCACCCAAUUUACAUGAUGUAUAUAUGGCACCCUACU